rnacentral:rRNA from 1 species
UACGUAGGGUGCGAGCGUUAAUCGGAAUUACUGGGCGUAAAGUGUGCGCAGGCGGCCGAGCAAGUCGAGUGUGAAAGCCCCGGGCUUAACUUGGGAAUUGCGCUCGAAACUACUUUGCUGGAGUGUGGCAGAGGAAGGUGGAAUUCCACGUGUAGCGGUGAAAUGCGUAGAGAUGUGGAGGAACACCAAUGGCGAAGGCAGCCUUCUGGGCCAACACUGACGCUCAUGCACGAAAGCGUGGGGAGCAAACAGG